rnacentral:rRNA from 1 species
AGAGUUUGAUCCUGGCUCAGAACGAACGCUGGCGGCGUGCUUAAUACAUGCAAGUCGAACGAGAAAGUCACCUUCGGGUGGCGAGUAAAGUGGCAAACGGGUGAGUAACACGUAAGCAACCUACCCAUAAGUUUGGGACAACACUGCUAACGCGGUGCUAAUACCGGAUGUGAACAAUUUUUUGCAUGAUUAAUUGUUUAAAGACUUCGGUCGAUUAUGGAUGGGCUUGCGGACCAUUAGCUUGUUGGUGGGGUAACGGCCUACCAAGGCUUCGAUGGUUAGCCGACCUGAGAGGGUGAUCGGCCACAUUGGGACUGAGAUACGGCCCAGACUCCUACGGGAGGCAGCAGUAGGGAAUUUUGCGCAAUGGACGAAAGUCUGACGCAGCAACGCCGCGUGAGCGAUGAAUGUCUUCGGAUUGUAAAGCUCUGUUGAGUGGGAAGAAAAGCUUCGGUAUGACGGUACCACUCGAGGAAGCCCGGCUAAUUACGUGCCAGCAGCCGCGGUAAUACGUAAGGGGCAAGCGUUGUUCGGAAUCACUGGGCGUAAAGGGAGCGCAGGCGGAUAAGUAAGUUAGGAGUUAAAGACGGCGGCUCAACCGUCGACCUGCUCUUAAUACUGCUUGUCUUGAGUACAGAAGAGGAAGACGGAAUUCCAGGUGUAGCGGUGGAAUGCGUAGAUAUCUGGAAGAACACCAGUUGCGUAGGCGGUCUUCUGGUCUGAUACUGACGCUCAUGCUCGAAAGCUAGGGGAGCAAACAGGAUUAGAUACCCUGGUAGUCCUAGCCGUAAACGAUGGACACUAGUUGUCGGAGGAGUCAAUCCUUUCGGUGACGAAGCUAACGCAUUAAGUGUCCCGCCUGGGGAGUACGCUCGCAAGGGUGAAACUCAAAGGAAUUGACGGGGGCCCGCACAAGCGGUGGAGCAUGUGCUUUAAUUCGAUGCAACGCGAAGAACCUUACCUGGGUUUGACAUGGGGGUGCAACUCUUUGGAGACAGAGAGCCUUCCCUCGGGAACACCCUACACAGGUGCUGCAUGGUUGUCGUCAGCUCGUGUCGUGAGAUGUUGGGUUAAGUCCCGCAACGAGCGCAACCCUCGCCCUUAGUUGCCAUCAGGUCAAGCUGGGAACUCUAGGGGGACUGCUUGGUAUAACCAGGAGGAAGGUGGGGAUGACGUCAAAUCAUCAUGGCCCUUACGCCCAGGGCUAGACACGUGCUACAAUGGCCAGUACAGCGGGAUGCUACACUGCAAGGUGACGCUAAUCCCUUAAAACUGGUCUCAGUUCGGAUUGGAGUCUGCAACUCGACUCCAUGAAGGUGGAAUCGCUAGUAAUCGCGGAUCAGCAUGCCGCGGUGAAUACGUUCCCAGGCCUUGUACACACCGCCCGUCAAGCCAUGAAAGACGGUAGUGCCCAACGUCGUUCCUCUAACCGCAAGGAAGAGUGCGCCUAAGGUAAGACCGUUGAUUGGGGCUAAGUCGAAACAAGGUA